UACGGAGGGUGCAAACGUUGCUCGGAAUUAUUGGGCGUAAAGCGCGUGUAGGCGGCAGAGUAAGUCAGAUGUGAAAGCCCCGGGCUUAACCUGGGAACUGCAUUUGAUACUGCUCAGCUAGAGUACGGGAGAGGGUAGCGGAAUUCCCGGUGAAGAGGUGAAAUUCGUAGAUAUCGGGAGGAACACCAGUGGCGAAGGCGGCUACCUGGACCGAUACUGACGCUGAGACGCGAAAGCGUGGGUAGCAAACAGG
rnacentral:rRNA from 1 species